UUUUUAACUCCGCCAAUUUAAAUGCACUAGCAUUGAAUUGCCGGUCCCAAGCCCGGAUAAAGGAGGAGGGAGAA
rnacentral:ribozyme from 1 species